rnacentral:rRNA from 1 species
UACGUAGGGGGCAAGCGUUGUCCGGAUCUAUUGGGCGUAAAGAGCGUGUAGGCGGCCUGACAGGUCUGCUGUGAAAACUCGAGGCUCAACCUCGAGAUGUCGGCGGAAACCAUUUGGCUAGAGUCCGGAAGAGGAGAGUGGAAUUCCUGGUGUAGCGGUGAAAUGCGCAGAUAUCAGGAAGAACACCAAUGGCGAAAGCAGCUCUCUGGGACGGUACUGACGCUGGGACGCGAAAGCGUGGGGAGCGAACAGG